rnacentral:rRNA from 1 species
ACGGGAGGCAGCAGUAAGGAAUAUUGGUCAAUGGACGCAAGUCUGAACCAGCCAUGCCGCGUGGAGGAUGAAGGCCCUCUGGGUUGUAAACUUCUUUUAUGGGGGACGAAAUCACUUAUUCUUAAGUGUCUGACGGUACCCCAGGAAUAAGCACCGGCUAACUCCGUGCCAGCAGCCGCGGUAAUACGGAGGGUGCAAGCGUUAUCCGGAUUCACUGGGUUUAAAGGGUGCGUAGGAGGGUGAGUAAGUCAGUGGUGAAAUCUUCGAGCUUAACUCGGAAACUGCCGUUGAUACUACUUGUCUUGAAUAUCGUGGAGGUGAGCGGAAUAUGUCAUGUAGCGGUGAAAUGCUUAGAUAUGACAUAGAACACCAAUUGCGAAGGCAGCUCGCUACACGAAUAUUGACUCUGAGGCACGAAAGCGUGGGGAUCAAACAGGAUUAGAUACCCUGGUA